UACGAAGGGGGCUAGCGUUGCUCGGAAUUACUGGGCGUAAAGGGCUCGUAGGCGGCCAACUAAGUCAGACGUGAAAUCCCCAGGCUCAACCUGGGAACUGCGUCUGAUACUGGUUGGCUUGAAUCCGGGAGAGGGAUGCAGAAUUCCAGGUGUAGCGGUGAAAUGCGCAGAUAUCAGGAGGAACACCGAUGGCGAAGGCAGGUCUCUGGGCCGAUACUGACGCUGAGGAGCGAAAGCGUGGGGAGCGAACAGG
rnacentral:rRNA from 1 species